rnacentral:misc_RNA from 1 species
AUAUGGAAAAGCAAAGAAAAUGGCUGAAGAUAUCAUAUUGGACUUCUCAAAGACUUCAGAUAUGGCUGUCAUGAUUUUAAGGUACUUCAAUGUGAUUGGCUCGGAUCCUGAAGGAAGGUUAGGAGAAGCUCCGCCCCCAGAAUUACGUGAGCAAGGUCGGAUAUCUGGUGCUUGUUUUGAUGCAGCCAGGGGCAUAAUUCCAGGAUUGAAAAUAAGAGGAGUAGAUUACACCACACCUGAUGGCACUUGUGUAAGAGACUACAUUGAUGUGACUGACCUGAUUGACGCUCAUGUUAAAGCUCUCGAGCAUGCUAAACCAAGCAAAGUUGGCAUCUACAAUGUCGGGACUGGAAAAGGUAGUUCAGUGAAACAAUUUGUGGA